rnacentral:rRNA from 1 species
CUGAGUAGCGGCGAGCGAAACGGGAAUAGCCCAAACCAACGAGCUUGCUUGUUGGGGUUGUAGGACACUCUAUACGGAGUUACAAAGGAAUAGAUUAGACGAAGCAUCUGGAAAGAUGCAUCAAAGAAGGUAAUAAUCCUGUAGUCGAAAAUCUGUUCUCUCUUGAGUGGAUCCUGAGUACGACGGAACACGAGAAAUUCCGUCGGAAUCCGGGGGGACCAUCUCCCAAGGCUAAAUACUCUCUAGUGACCGAUAGUGAACCAGUACCGUGAGGGAAAGGUGAAAAGUACCCCGGAAGGGGAGUGAAAGAGAACUUGAAACCGUGUGCUUACAAGUAGUCAGAGCCCGUUAAUGGGUGAUGGCGUGCCUUUUGUAGAAUGAACCGGCGAGUUACGAUUUGAUGCAAGGUUAAGCAGUGAAUGUGGAGCCGUAGCGAAAGCGAGUCUGAAUAGGGCGUUGAGUAUUUGGUCGUAGACCCGAAACCAGGUGAUCUACCCUUGACCAGGUUGAAGUUCAGGUAACACUGAAUGGAGGACCGAACCGACUUACGUUGAAAAGUGAGCGGAUGAGUUGAGGGUAGCGGAGAAAUUCCAAUCGAACCUGGAGAUAGCUGGUUCUCUCCGAAAUAGCUUUAGGGCUAGCCUCAAGUGAUGAUUAUUGGAGGUAGAGCACUGUUUGGACGAGGGGCCCUUCUCGGGUUACCGAAUUCAGACAAACUCCGAAUGCCAAUCAAUUUAACUUGGGAGUCAGAACGCGGGUGAUAAGGU